rnacentral:rRNA from 1 species
UAUUGCACAAUGGGGGAAACCCUGAUGCAGCGACGCCGCGUGAGGGAAGACGGUUUUCGGAUUGUAAACCUCUGUCUUUGGGGACGAAUUGAGACGGUACCCAAGGAGGAAGCACCGGCUAACUACGUGCCAGCAGCCGCGGUAAUACGUAGGGAGCAAGCGUUGUCCGGAAUUACUGGGUGUAAAGGGAGCGUAGGCGGGAUAGUAAGUUGAUUGUUAAAACUAUCGGCUCAACUGAUAGAUGCGAUCAAAACUGCAAUUCUUGAGUGAAGUAGAGGCAGGCGGAAUUCCUAGUGUAGCGGUGAAAUGCGUAGAUAUUGGGAGGAACACCAGUGGCGAAGGCGGCCUGCUGGACAUUAACUGACGCUGAGGCGCGAAAGCGUGGGGAGCAAACAGG